UACGGAGGGUGCAAGCGUUAAUCGGAAUUACUGGGCGUAAAGCGUGCGUAGGUGGUUCGUUAAGUCCGUUGUGAAAGCCCCGAGCUCAACUUGGGAAUUGCAGCGGAUACUGGCGAGCUGGAGUGCGGUAGAGGAAGGUGGAAUUCCCGGUGUAGCGGUGAAAUGCGUAGAGAUCGGGAGGAACGCCAGUGGCGAAGGCGGCCUUCUGGACCAGCACUGACACUCAAGCACGAAAGCGUGGGGAGCAAACAGG
rnacentral:rRNA from 1 species